ACGCGCGGAACCUUACCAGGUCUUGACAUCCUCUGACACUCCUAGAGAUAGGACGUUCCCCUUCGGGGGACAGAGUGACAGGUGGUGCAUGGUUGUCGUCAGCUCGUGUCGUGAGAUGUUGGGUUAAGUCCCGCAACGAGCGCAACCCUUGAUCUUAGUUGCCAGCAUUUAGUUGGGCACUCUAAGGUGACUGCCGGUGACAAACCGGAGGAAGGUGGGGAUGACGUCAAAUCAUCAUGCCCCUUAUGACCUGGGCUACACACGUGCUACAAUGGACGGUACAAACGGUUGCCAACCCGCGAGGGGGAGCUAAUCCGAUAAAACCGUUCUCAGUUCGGAUUGUAGGCUGCAACUCGCCUACAUGAAGCCGGAAUCGCUAGUAAUCGCGGAUCAGCAUGCCGCGGUGAAUACGUUCCCGGGCCUUGCACUCACCGCCCGU
rnacentral:rRNA from 1 species